rnacentral:misc_RNA from 1 species
AACCUAGCACACCUGCGGUGUGUACCUGCGGAGGGAUCAUUACCUAGAGUUGUAGGCUUUGCCUGCUAUCUCUUACCCAUGUCUUUUGAGUACCUUACGUUUCCUCGGUGGGCUCGCCCACCGAUUGGACAAAUUUAAACCCUUUGCAGUUGAAAUCAGCGUCUGAAAAAACUUAAUAGUUGCAACUUUCAACAACGGAUCU